rnacentral:rRNA from 1 species
UACGUAGGGUGCGAGCGUUGUCCGGAAUUACUGGGCGUAAAGGGCUCGUAGGCGGCCAACUAAGUCAGACGUGAAAUCCCUCGGCUUAACCGGGGAACUGCAUCUGAUACUGGAUGGCUUGAGUUCGGGAGAGGGAUGCGGAAUUCCAGGUGUAGCGGUGAAAUGCGUAGAUAUCUGGAGGAACACCGGUGGCGAAGGCGGCAUCCUGGACCGACACUGACGCUGAGGAGCGAAAGCCAGGGGAGCAAACGGG